rnacentral:rRNA from 1 species
UAACACGUGGGUAACCUGCCCGGAAGUGGGGAAUACCUCGGGGAAACUCGAGCUAAUGCCGCAUAAAAUCUCCGGGACGAAAGUCCUGAUGAUCAAAGCGGGGUCGCAAGAUCUCGCGCUACCGGAUGGGCCCGCGCCUGAUUAGCUAGUUGGUGAGGUAACGGCUCACCAAGGCUUCGAUCAGUAACCGGCCUGAGAGGGCGAUCGGUCACACCGGAACUGAGACACGGUCCGG